rnacentral:rRNA from 1 species
CCUACGGGAGGCAGCAGUGGGGAAUAUUGCACAAUGGGGGAAACCCUGAUGCAGCAACGCCGCGUGAGUGAAGAAGGAUUUCGGUACGUAAAGCUCUAUCAGCAGGGAAGAAAAUGACAGUACCUGACUAAGAAGCCCCGGCUAACUACGUGCCAGCAGCUGCGGUAAUACGUAGGGGGCAAGCGUUAUCCGGAUUUACUGGGUGUAAAGUGAGCGUAGACGGCUGCGCAAGUCAGAAGUGAAAGCCUGGGGCUCAACCGCGGGACUGCUUUUGAAACUGUAUAGCUAGAGUGCAGGAGAGGUAAGUGGAAUUCCAUGUGUAGCGGUGAAAUGCGUAGAUAUUAGGAGGAACACCAGUGGCGAAGGCGGCUUACUGGACUGUAACUGACGUUGAGGCUCGAAAGCGUGGGGAGCAAACAGGAUUAGAUACCCCGGUAGUC